UGGUUCUCGCAUCGAUGAAGAACGCAGCGAAAUGCGAUACGUAAUGUGAAUUGCAGAAUUCCGUGAAUCAUCGAAUCUUUGAACGCACAUUGCGCCCCUUGGUAUUCCAGGGGGCAUGCCUGUUUGAGCGUCAUUUCCUUCUCAAAUAUUCGUAUUUGGUUGUGAGUGAUACUCAUCUGAGUUAACUUGAAAUUGCUAGCCUUUCUGGCUGUAUAUGCUUACUUGAUAAAGCGAUUUGUCUAGUCUGCUGAUACCAUUGUCGUAUUAGGUUUUACCAACUUCGGCGUAUAGUGUUAGUAUGGCGUUUUAAAGACAGAGUGCAUUACUAGGUUGCUGUGCGGUCUGGCGAACAAUACUCUUUAAGUUUGACCUCAAAUCAGGUAGGAAUACCCGCUGA
rnacentral:misc_RNA from 1 species